rnacentral:tRNA from 1 species
GGACAGAUAGCUCAGUGGUUUGAGCAUUGGGCUGCCAAACCUGGUGUUGUGAGUUCAAUCCUUACAGAGGCCA